rnacentral:rRNA from 1 species
AUUGAACGCUGGCGGCAGGCCUAACACAUGCAAGUCGAACGAGUGGCGGACGGGUGAGUAAUGUCUGGGAAACUGCCCGAUGGAGGGGGAUAACUACUGGAAACGGUCGCUAAUACCGCAUACCAUCGGAUGUGCCUAGGUCGGAUUCGCUAGUUGGUGGGGUAAAGGCCUACCAAGGCGACGAUCCGUAACUGGUCUGAGAGGAUGAUCAGUCACACUGGAACUGAGACACGGUCCAGAUGCCUACGGGAGGCAGCAGUGGGGAAGAGUGGACAAUGGGCGAAAGCCGGAGCCAGCCAUGCCGCGUGGGUGAAGAAGGUCUUCGGAUUGUAAAGCACGGUAAGUUGGGAGGCGUUACCAACAGAGUAAGCACCGGCUAACUUCGUGCCAGCAGCCGCGGUAAUUC